rnacentral:rRNA from 1 species
UGGGCGUAAGGGCUCGCAGGCGGUUUCUUAAGUCUGAUGUGAAAGCCCCCGGCUCAACCGGGGAGGGUCAUUGGAAACUGGGGAACUUGAGUGCAGAAGAGGAGAGUGGAAUUCCACGUGUAGCGGUGAAAUGCGUAGAGAUGUGGAGGAACACCAGUGGCGAAGGCGACUCUCUGGUCUGUAACUGACGCUGAGGAGCGAAAGCGUGGGGAGCGAACAGGAUUAGAUACCCUGGUAGUCCACGCCGUAAACGAUGAGUGCUAAGUGUUAGGGGGUUUCCGCCCCUUAGUGCUGCAGCUAACGCAUUAAGCACUCCGCCUGGGGAGUACGGUCGCAAGACUGAAACUCAAAGGAAUUGACGGGGGCCCGCACAAGCGGUGGAGCAUGUGGUUUAAUUCGAAGCAACGCGAAGAACCUUACCAGGUCUUGACAUCCUCUGACAAUCCUAGAGAUAGGACGUCCCCUUCGGGGGCAGAGUGACAGGUGGUGCAUGGUUGUCGUCAGCUCGUGUCGUGAGAUGUUGGGUUAAGUCCCGCAACGAGCGCAACCCUUGAUCUUAGUUGCCAGCAUUCAGUUGGGCACUCUAAGGUGACUGCCGGUGACAAACCGGAGGAAGGUGGGGAUGACGUCAAAUCAUCAUGCCCCUUAUGACCUGGGCUACACACGUGCUACAAUGGACAGAACAAAGGGCAGCGAAACCGCGAGGU